AGCAGCCGCGGUAAUUCCAGCUCCAAUAGCGUAUAUUAAAGUUGUUGCAGUUAAAAAGCUCGUAGUUGAAUUUUGGAUUCUUCCAAUUGGUCCAUCUUUUAGAUGAGUACUGGUUGUGUGGGGUCUAUCCGCCUGGUGAUACGUAAUGUCCUUUAUUGGAUGUUUCGGGUAGUCAGGACCUUUACCUUGAAAAAAUUAGAGUGUUUAAAGCAGGCUUAUGCCGGAAUACAUUAGCAUGGAAUAAUAGAAUAGGACGAAGUUGUUUUAUUUUGUUGGUUUCUAGGACAACCGUAAUGAUUAAUAGGGAUAGUUGGGGGCAUUAGUAUUCAAUUGUCAGAGGUGAAAUUCUUGGAUUUAUUGAAGACUAACUACUGCGAAAGCAUUUGCCAAGGAUGUUUUCAUUAAUCAAGAACGAAAGUUAGGGGAUCGAAGACGAUCAGAUACCGUCGUAGUCUUAACCAUAAACUAUGCCGACUAGGGAUCGGGCGAUGUUGUUUCCAUAACUCGCUCGGCACCUUAUG
rnacentral:rRNA from 1 species